rnacentral:sRNA from 1 species
CCCCGAGGUGAGGAUUAUUAUCAAACGCAGCCUAGAAGGGCCCCGAUGGGGUUGGAUAUAGAUAUAGAUAUAGAUAUUGAUUGUGUAUCUGGGGAAGAAUUGUCUGGUGGCUCUCCCUUGUGGUCCAGGGCGUUGCAAACGAUGGACGGAAAAGCCAAAAAAAAAAACCAGCAAACGGCGGUUAUAUAAUUUUCGAUCAAUAGUUAAGGGCCGUGCAAGUCGUGCAAGCCGUGCUUUGGACGUAUGUAUACAAUACACUAGGGGCGCAAGCAUGGCACGUUCACUCUAUCCUGUUGGAUUUUCGGGUUUCUAGAUAUCUACUGACGAGGGGAGGGAGGAGGUUGGUUGUGUGGUGGAAUAACGAAAGGGAUGCGGAUACAGCAACCCAAAAAAGAAAUAAAUAAUAAAAUAAAUAAAAGUAAUAGUAAAAGAUAAAAAAAGUAAAAGUAAAUGGCCACUGCACC